rnacentral:rRNA from 1 species
GACGAACGCUGGCGGCGUGCUUAACACAUGCAAGUCGAACGGAAAGGCCCUGCUUUUGUGGGGUGCUCGAGUGGCGAACGGGUGAGUAACACGUGAGUAACCUGCCCUUGACUUUGGGAUAACUUCAGGAAACUGGGGCUAAUACCGGAUAGGAGCUCCUGCUGCAUGGUGGGGGUUGGAAAGUUUCGGCGGUUGGGGAUGGACUCGCGGCUGAUCAGCUUGUUGGUGGGGUAGUGGCUUACCAAGGCAUUGACGGGUAGCCGGCCUGAGAGGGGGACCGGCCACAUUGGGACUGAGAGACGGCCCAGACUCCUACGGGAGGCAGCAGUGGGGAAUAUUGCACAAUGGGCGGAAGCCGGAUGCAGCAACGCCGCGUGCGGGAUGACGGCCUUCGGGUUGUAAACCGCUUUCGCCUGUGACGAAGCGGGAGUGACGGUAAUGGGUAAAGAAGCACCGGCUAACUACGUG